CACGCCGUAAACGAUGGAUGCUCGGUGUCGGGGGUAUCGACCCCCUCGGCGCCUCAGGUAACCCGGUAAGCAUCCCGCCUGGGGAGUACGGCCGCAAGGUUGAAACUCAAAGGAAUUGACGGGGGCCCGCACAAGCGGUGGAGCAUGUUGUUUAAUACGUCACUAACCGUAGAACCUUACCAGGUCUUGACAUCUUCGGAACCCUUUGGAAACGGAGGGGUGCCCGCAAGGGAGCCGAAAGACAGGUGU
rnacentral:rRNA from 1 species